UGGUGGAGUGAUUUGUCUGGUUAAUUCCGAUAACGAACGAGACCUCAGCCUGCUAAAUAGUAAAGUGAAUCUUCUAAAUGGGUGAAGGGGAGGAGUGUUGAGGUGGUCCUCGUGGCCAUUUCGCCUUUUUGGAUCCUUGAAGCAUUUACUUUUUAAAUAGAGUUAAACUCUUUUACUUCUUAGAGGGACAAUUCAUAUUGUAGUGAAUGGAAGUUUGAGGCAAUAACA
rnacentral:rRNA from 1 species